rnacentral:rRNA from 1 species
UACGGAGGGCGCGAGCGUUGUUCGGAAUCACUGGGCGUAAAGCGCGUGUAGGCGGCCGAGCAAGUCGGAUGUGAAAUCCCGAGGCUCAACCUCGGAACUGCAUUCGAAACUGCUCGGCUCGAGUCCCGGAGAGGAUGGCGGAAUUCCCGGUGUAGGGGUGAAAUCCGUAGAUAUCGGGAGGAACACCAGUGGCGAAGGCGGCCAUCUGGACGGUGACUGACGAUGAGACGCGAAAGCGUGGGGAGCAAACAGG